GACAGCGUGGUGUAGUGGUUUGAUCAUUGGACUAUAACUCUGGAGGACAGGGUUUAAAUCCCUGCUCAGCCA